rnacentral:hammerhead_ribozyme from 1 species
AUCCAGCUGACGAGUCCCAAAUAGGACAAAGUGACGAGCGUCCUGGAU